GUCGGAAUUGCUAGUAAUCGCAGAUCAGCAUGCUGCGGUGAAUACGUUCCCGGGCCUUGUACACACCGCCCGUCACACCAUGGGAGUCGGUAACACCCGAAGUCGGUAGCCUAACCGUAAGGAGGGCGCCGCCGAAGGUGGGAUUGAUGAUUAGGGUUAAGUCGUAACAAGGUAGC
rnacentral:rRNA from 1 species